UGAGUACGAGAUGCUACGGCAUCGAAGCAGUCUAUGUCAUACUUCCAAGAAAAGCUUGCACUGUCAUAAACAAAGAAUGCCUGUACCAUAACCGACACAGGUGGGUAGGUAGAGUAUACUAAGGGGCGCGAGAUAACUCUCUCUAAGGAACUCGGCAAAAUGACUCCGUAACUUCGGGAGAAGGAGUGCCUUAUUUCUAAGGUUGCAAUAACAAGAUCCAAGCAACUGUUUACCAAAAACACAGGUCUCCGCUAAGUCGUAAGACGAUGUAUGGGGGCUGACGCCUGCCCAGUGCCAGAAGGUUAAAGAAGUUGGUUAGCAUUAGCGAAGCUGAUAACUGAAGCCCUGGUGAACGGCGGCCGUAACUAUAACGGUCCUAAGGUAGCGAAAUUCCUUGUCGGGUAAGUUCCGACCCGCACGAAAGGCGUAAUGAUUUGGAUACUGUCUCGGAGAGGGGCUCGGUGAAAUAGACUUGUCUGUGAAGAUGCGGACUACCUGCACCUGGACAGAAAGACCCUAUGAAGCUUUACUGUAACUUGAGAUUGAAAUUGGACUUUAUUUGCGCAGUAUAGGUGGGAGGCGUUGAGAAUAAUCUUGCGGGAUUGUUGGAGCCAUCAGUGAGAUACCACUCUUGUAAUGUUAGAUUUCUAACUUUGUAUCAUUAUCUGGUCAAAGAACAGUUUCAGGCGGGCAGUUUGACUGGGGCGGUCGCCUCCCAAAGGGUAACGGAGGCGCACAAAGGUUUCCUCUGAACGGGUAGAAAUCGUAUCUAGAGUGUAAAGGCAUAAGGAAGCUUGACUGUGAGACCUACAAGUCGAGCAGGGACGAAAGUCGGUCUUAGUGAUCUGACGGUGCUGAGUGGAAAGGCCGUCACUCAACGGAUAAAAGUUACUCUAGGAUAACAGGCUGAUCUCCCCCAAGAGUUCACAUCGACGGGGAGGUUUGGCACCUCGAUGUCGGCUCAUCGCAUCCUGGGGCGGUAGUCCGUCCCAAGGGUUGGGCUGUUCGCCCAUGAAAGCGGUACGCGAGCUGGGUUCAGAGCGUCGUGAGACAGUUCGGUCCAUAUCCGGUGUAGGCGUUAGAAUAUUGAGAGGAGCCUUCUCUAGUACGAGAGGACCGAGAAGGACAUACCUCUGGUGUACCAGUUAUCGUGCCAACGGUAAACGCUGGGUAGCUAUGUAUGGAGUGGAUAACCGCUGAAAGCAUCUAAGUGGGAAGCCCACCUCAAGAUAAG
rnacentral:rRNA from 1 species